rnacentral:lncRNA from 1 species
UGUCUGGCAAAUUUCCAACAUAUAUUAUCAACUACUAUUCUAUACAAAGAAAGAUAACUCCAAUUGAAAAUUAAUUGCUAUUGCACAAUAUUGUGCAAUUAGAUAUUUCUUGCUAUUGUGCAAUACUGUGCAAUUGAAAAUUUCUUGCUAUUGCACAAUACUUGAUAAGGAAUCCUGAUUUGGACCAUCUUGAAAACUGGGCCCAUAAUCAAUCAAAGCGCGAAAGCGCUGUAAAGGCAGUUAAUUACAGGUUGUGUGUAUUUCUAGUCCAGUUAUAUCAUUAUCUUCCAUAGAACAGAGGUGGUUUGUAGAAUUUAAGAUUUAGAGUUCUUUUGUACCUAGUUCACCUAUAUCUAUAGUCUACUGUUUACAGUAUAUUUUCU